GACGAACGCUGGCGGCGUGCUUAACACAUGCAAGUCGAACGGAAAGGCCCUGCUUUUGUGGGGUGCUCGAGUGGCGAACGGGUGAGUAACACGUGAGUAACCUGCCCUUGACUUUGGGAUAACUUCAGGAAACUGGGGCUAAUACCGGAUAGGAGCUCCUGCUGCAUGGUGGGGGUUGGAAAGUUUCGGCGGUUGGGGGUGGACUCGCGGCUUAUCAGCUUGGUGGGGGGGUAGUGGCGUACCAAGGCUUUGACGGGUAGCCGGCCUGGGAGGGUGACCGGCCACAUUGGGACUGAGAUACGGCCCAGACUCCUACGGGAGGCAGCAGUGGGGAAUAUUGCACAAUGGGCGGAAGCCUGAUGCAGCAACGCCGCGUGCGGGAUGACGGCCUUCGGGUUGUAAACCGCUUUCGCCUGUGACGAAGCGUGAGUGACGGUAAUGGGUAAAGAAGCACCGGCUAACUACGUG
rnacentral:rRNA from 1 species